UGGUGACCCAGAGUGGCAGGACCUCCCUGGGACAUGCUGCUGAAGUCUGACCUUGGGUCCUGAGGGCACAACCUUAGAAACGUCCCUGUCUGCUGGCAAGGCACAGAAGGCCUGGUUUCAUGUCGGAUGACAAUGAGCAGUGAAGGCUUGGAAAUGCUAGUAUUGGACCAUUUGAAGACCACUUGGACAUUAAUGAAGAAUCUUCAAACCGCAGCCAGAGAAAGAGGAUCUGAAAGAAACUCCACAAACUAAACUUUUCAUCAUGCUUGGGCCAGUGAGCUGAGUCUGAGUCUCCACUUGGCUUUUUCCUGUUAGCUGUGCAAACUCAGGGUCUUCUAAAUCUCAGACCCUUCAUUUUUGCAAGAGGAGGUGGGAGGGUUAUUGUGAGAAUCAAAUGUGCUUAAAGCACUCAGGAUCUGAAACACCAGGAGGUUGUGCAUCAAGCCUCCUUUAUGUACAGGAGAAGACCUGGGAGCUCAGGACUCCUGGGCACUUGGCACCCUCUGAGAAUGUCAAGUGAGACCCAGUGAAAUGCUCUCCCUUCACAGUUACCACUGAGCUACCCAGCCACCCUGCGGUUGUCCUGGCAUGGAGUCAAAGCUGUAGGCUGGCUACCUGAGAGUAUACAACAGCAUGGAUGGAAUGCAGGCUCAGCUGAGAAUCAGAUUUUUUGACUUCCCCAUCCUCAACAGGCCUUGGAAGUCAGGUUGUCCAGACGGCGUCUGUAAUUGAAUUUCAUCAUAUUUAUUCAGCUUUUUAUUUGAAAAAAAAUUAUACUUCUCAAGAUGAUAAGAGAAGCCUGUUUGAGCCAGCUGGCCACAUUAGGAAAUUAUAUUUGCCGUCCAUUACUUGUGGAUAUCCGUUUCUUUGGUUAUUCAUUCUAUAGGAGCUGUGCGUGUCAUUUAUCUCAGCCACUGCCCUCUGGAUACUUCAACAGCGGGCAUUGCCAAAAUUUGUAUAAUUUUUUUAACCCUAGGAUCAUGGGUUGGGAAACUCCAUCCUUGCUUUAAUUCCCUGUAGUUAUAAUCACUGGACAAAACAGAUGCCUGCCCUUUCACGUUCCUUCCCACACAAUGCAACUGUAUCUACAGCCGAGACACUUCCCUGCCUCCCACAGUCUCCCUGUCAUGUAGAGCUCAGGCUUCAGCUGGACCUGGGACUGCCUGUCUCUUAGUGAGAUUUUCCAAGUAGAGCUUGAGGGUCACAUAGAGGAAAUAUAGCUUGGCGUGGACUCACGGCCGUCAGAAGAUCCCCGUGUUCACGAACCCCAUUCUGUUCUAUUUCUAACACUGUGUGCUAAGAAGUACUCCGAUAUCUUAAACAAGAGUGAUGUAGGAGAAUAAAUACCAGCCUCAGAAUUACAGCCUGGUUGGCUCUUCUGCACUUUGUCUAUGAAAUAAGGGAAGUACCUGCAUCUUCUCCAUUGAAAGUCUUCCUAGUUGUCAACAGCAGAAUCCUUUCUACUUAUUCUACAAAAUGAGAUAUAAAGAUGUACUCAUACUUGCCAAUAUCAUAGUUGUGUGGAAGAAAUAUACAUCAGUUUGAGCUUCUUGGAACAAGUCUAAAAGCCACAGCACUGAAAGAAAUCAACCAAUGAACUCGUGUCUCUAUAGAGUCAGCAGAGGCCUGCUCAGGUAGCUUCCAUGAUGACUGACAGCUCCAGAAAGGCACUCCACUGAUAAUUUCUGCAUCAGUCAAACAAGUGUCUAGAGCCCUGUCCAAAUCCAUCUAUAUGGUCAAGCAAAAAUCAUAAUCAGGACACUAAUCUAACAGAGUCUCAGAAAUGUACUUUGUUUUGUAGACUAUGGUUUCAGAGAGGUAUAUGAGAGGUCAGGUAGUAUGGGAACCAUGUAAAAUCCUCAAUAAAAAAUACCCUCAAUUGAAUUUAGUAUUUGAAACCCCAGGCUCAUAUCAUGUGUGUUCUUUUGUGAUUGGGUUACCUCACUCAGGAUGAUAUC